CAACCCCUGACAAUGCCAACUAAUGAGUUUCAUUUGUUUCUUGGUGGCUGUUUAGGGCCAGCCACCAAUGCCCAGUGAUCAGAUUCGUUCGCCACAAAGAUUGGAGUCUCCUGCAGUUGGGUUUCAUUAAGUCCCUCAGAUAUCUGUAAACACCUAUCAUAAGUGCCAUACCGCUUUGCUUUCUUCAUGGGUUCAACUUUAGGAUGCAAGAAUCUCAGUUGCUUGUCCGAGUGGUUUCCAUUGAAGCGGAGUUGCAAUAGUUAUAACUUGGCCCUCGGCUGGUAUGUCCAUAACCUCCUUUGGAUUGUUUAUAGUAGAUUGAUGGGCAGGGAUCAAAUGGGUUGGUGACUAAGGAGUUUCAGGGAUGACUUUCUCUACCUCCUCAAUAGGAAGUUGGGUUUCAUAAAAGGGCAGCAAGGCGAGCGUCAUUACCAUGGUCAGAGUUGUCUAUCCCUGAAGAACCCUCAGCCGGAGGUUCCAUCCUAUCGCAAUUCGACUAAAAAGGAGAGAAUCCGAGACUGUCCAUAAAUAGCACAACUACAGGCAGACCAGGAAGUUUGUCACAGGAGCCCGGGAUGAUGAGAGAACAGAGGAAAAACGACAUGCAGAAGACUUGAUGAAGCGGAAAGACUGCAACUUAGGGUGAAAUUGACGAUGGUAAGAGGAGAAGUGACGGAUAGAAAUGGGUCUGUAGAUAAUAGAGACUGAGCCAAAGUAGAAUCGAAGAGGAUAACACGAAGAGGAAACCCAGAAUCAGCCAGCAAGAUGUAUCGGGAAAUGAGUAUAAAGGCAGAAAGGGUUCGGUCUAGAAAGUAAUGAACAUGGAUAGAGAGAAAUAGAACUGGUCCAUGGGUGAAUCAAAUAAGAAAAACAAGAUGGGAAAUCCAGACUGGAGCAUCGAGAUUAAAGCUUGAAAAAGAAACUGAGAAUCAAGUAGGGUUCCAGACGAAAGAGUAAACUACCACGGGGUAGAGGGAAACUCGACAAAAUGAGAGCCGGCAAUUAAGGAAAAUUAUUUCCACGAAAAUAUCCUCCUCAACCAAAUUGAAUGCUCAAUCCUGUGGAACACGCAUUGUGCCUCUUGGGGGGGCCCUUCGCUAGGAAACGCAUCUGCUGCACUGGCAUCACUCCCUCAAAGCCAGAAUCUCACCCACUACAACCCUGCUCGAGAACGCAGCUAGCGCAUCGCUAAAGGGUAGCACAUAGUGAUCGGAUAUCACCGGCGGGACAGUAUGUGCCUCAGCAUUCCUAGGGCUCGCCACCUUGUGGCCACUUUGGCCAUGUGUAGUACUAGUCCUCUUCAUCCCGUGGUAGGCGACCGCCUUGGGAAGCCCGUCGUAGACCAUGGUGUCCCCAUUCUUUUCCUUCUGGUGUCGCAGUAGGACCGGCCGAAUGUGGCUGUGCACUGAGUUGGCAAAGAAAGCCAUCAAGGUGCAGUCGAAUGUCCCUGGCUAUGAGGUUGAUUUCAGGGAACGAAGCGUCUUUCUUGGGGUUGAAGUGCCAUAAUUUUUUUAAAAUAUUUACCUAAAGGUCGAAA